GAUUCGUCACACUAUCAUUAACUGAAUCCAUAGGUUAAUGAGGCGAACCGGGGGAACUGAAACAUCUAAGUACCCCGAGGAAAAGAAAUCAACCGAGAUUCCCCCAGUAGCGGCGAGCGAACGGGGAGGAGCCCAGAGCCUGAAUCAGCAUGUGUGUUAGUGGAAGCGUCUGGAAAGGCGCGCGAUACAGGGUGACAGCCCCGUACACAAAAGCGCAUGUGCUGUGAGCUCGAUGAGUAGGGCGGGACACGUGGUAUCCUGUCUGAAUAUGGGGGGACCAUCCUCCAAGGCUAAAUACUCCUGACUGACCGAUAGUGAACCAGUACCGUGAGGGAAAGGCGAAAAGAACCCCGGCGAGGGGAGUGAAAAAGAACCUGAAACCGUGUACGUACAAGCAGUGGGAGCACCCUUCGGGGUGUGACUGCGUACCUUUUGU
rnacentral:rRNA from 4 species